GGUAUUUUCUAUGCGUUCUCCAUUGUGGGACCUGGCGUUGGGUAUUUACUCAGCAGCGUGUUUCUGAACAUACCAGGAGAUCUGAAGUACAGUACGGGCCUGACACCUGAGAGUCCACAGUGGGUGGGUGCAUGGUGGAUUGGAUUCCUACUGUCCGGGGCUAUGGCUGCGGUGUCAGCCAUAUUUCUGUUCGGAUUCCCUCGAAAACUUCCUGUACUGUCUGAAAAAAACACAAACCCAUCUAACACCGCGGAUACACCCCCGACGAAGAAUGAGCAUGGGACCGAGAGCACCAACAUCGCCACAAUAACUACGUCAUCAUCUCCAUCUCGUUCUGAAUCGGAAACCCCGACAGAACCUCAAAAUAUUACGUCAUCAGAAUCUGCAGACGACAAAAAAGAGCAGCAUCUGCGACAGUCCUGA